CCUACGGGGGGCUGCAGUGGGGAAUAUUGCACAAUGGGGGAAACCCUGAUGCAGCGACGCCGCGUGAGCGAUGACGUAUUUCGGUAUGUAAAGCUCUAUCAGCAGGGAAGAAAAUGAAGGUACCUGACUAAGAAGCCCCGGCUAAAUACGUGCCAGCAGCCGCGGUAAUACGUAGGGGACAAGCGUUAUCCGGAUUUACUGGGUGUAAAGGGAGCGUAGAGGGCGAUGCAAGCCAGAUGUGAAAGCCCGGGGCUCAACCCCGGGACUGCAUUUGGUACUGUAUAGCUGGAGUGUCGGAGAGGCAGGCGGAAUUCCUAGUGUAGCGGUGAAAUGCGUAGAUAUUAGGAAGAACACCAGUGGCGAAGGCAGCCUACUGGACGAUGACUGACGUUGAGGCUCGAAAGCGUGGGGAGCAAACAGGAUUAGAUACCCUGGUAGUC
rnacentral:rRNA from 1 species